UACGUAGUGGGCUAGCGUUAUCCGGAAUUACUGGGCGUAAAGGGUGCGUAGGUGGUUUCUUAAGUCAGAGGUGAAAGGCUACGGCUCAACCGUAGUAAGCCUUUGAAACUGAGAAACUUGAGUGCAGGAGAGGAGAGUAGAAUUCCUAGUGUAGCGGUGAAAUGCGUAGAUAUUAGGAGGAAUACCAGUUGCGAAGGCGGCUCUCUGGACUGUAACUGACACUGAGGCACGAAAGCGUGGGGAGCAAACAGGAUUAGAUACCCCUGUAGUCCCUGA
rnacentral:rRNA from 1 species